UAUGUAAAUGGGAAACUGUUGGCUAACAAGUUAACAAGUUCACCAUGACAACUUUAGAAAAGUGACAAUAUGUCCGUGUUGUUUACACUACCCCCACGUUGCCAGAAACUAAGUUAAUACAUUUAAUAUUUAUACAGAAUCCCACUCUACGAAAAGCAUCAUUACUGAGAAACCUCUUUGAAGGAAAUGCUGAAGGCCACUGUAAAGUAUAAUCCACAACUCAUCGUGCAAUAACAAUGCAGCACAUACGGGCCCCUGAAUGAUUUCCUCUUCUCUGAAGUCCAGCGGUUCAACCGAGGGUCAGAGUCUGAGCCCUUCAUGAGCUUCCUCCUCCUUAACUGGACGUCAUUGAAAGGACCAUCAACACAGCACAGGUGGGGCUGUAAACAACAGCCAGCCUGCUGUUUAACUGGCUCUUUAUCGAAUGUGAGGCUGUGGAAAAUGUGUUACUCGGUGGUUGGACAUAUUUGUUAUGUUACAUAAGAAGGGAAGCGGCAAUGUUUAUGCAUUUAAUUACGAGCUGAACAUGAAUUGAUAAGCGAAGUGCUCCGAGCUGUUUCAGUUCAUGAAUACUUUUGACUCCUUGAGAGUUUGUUUUUAAAGGUGUGGGUGUGAAGGGGGGGGGUUUUAUUGCCCAGGGCUCAGGUAGCAGAUAAGAGAUAAGACAGUUAUGGAACCAUGAAAUUAAGAUCUGCCAACCCUCACAGCACUCAAGUUAGAAGGAAGUGCACACCCCUUGCUCCAGACUUACUAAAUAAAGGCACAAUCACACAGUCAGACACCAAAGCUUUUGUUUUGUGACAAGUAGAGUCAAAACUCGCUUUGUCAUGUCUCAUUUCAAGACACUCCUUCUACUGAUGCAGCUUCAGAAAGAUGAAGAUUUCAUUUCUGAGGCUUCAGUUUUAGCAACACCAACAACUUUACCUACUUGUAUUUAUUUCACUUCUUUUUAUGACUGGUAUUUAGAUUGAGGUUCUUUUACCAAUAACACAGCCAGCUUUAUGUAGAAAACAAAGAAAAAGCAGAAUUGUCUUCACGUCGCCUGUAUGUAUGUGUAUAAUAAUAGUAUUAGGGCCCUAUUUUAACAAUCUGAGCACACAGCGUGAAGCGCUUGGCGCAGGUGCGUUUAGGCCGUGUCCAAAUCCACUUUUGCUUGUUUGACGG